AACGAACGCUGGCGGCAGGCUUAACACAUGCAAGUCGAGCGCCCCGCAAGGGGAGCGGCCGACGGGUGAGUAACGCGUGGGAACGUACCUUUUGGUUCGGAACAACUCCGGGAAACUGGAGCUAAUACCGGAUAAGCCCUAACGGGGAAAGAUUUAUCGCCGAAAGAUCGGCCCGCGUCUGAUUAGCUAGUUGGUGAGGUAACGGCUCACCAAGGCGACGAUCAGUAGCUGGUCUGAGAGGAUGAUCAGCCACACUGGGACUGAGACACGGCCCAGACUCCUACGGGAGGCAGCAGAGGGGAAUAUUGGACAAUGGGCGCAAGCCUGAUCCAGCCAUGCCGCGUGAGUGAUGAAGGCCUUAGGGUUGUAAAGCUCUUUUGUCCGGGAAGAUAAUGACUGUACCGGAAGAAUAAGCCCCGGCUAACUUCGUG
rnacentral:rRNA from 1 species